rnacentral:rRNA from 1 species
GAUGAACGCUGGCGGCGUGCCUAAUACAUGCAAGUUGAGCGAACAGACGAGGAGCUUGCUCCUUCGACGUUAGCGGCGGACGGGUGAGUAACACGUAGGUAACCUACCUAUAAGACUGGGAUAACUUCGGGAAACCGGUGCUAAUACCGGAUAAUAUUUCGAAACGCAUGGUUCAAUAGUGAAAGAUGGCUUUGCAUUAACUUAUGAAUGGACCUCGUUCGUUUUAGCUGUUUGGUAAGGUAACGGCUUACAAAGGCAACGUAACGUACCCGACCUGAGAGGGGGAUCGCCCACAUGGGAACGGAGACACGGCCCAGCCUCCUCCGGGAGGCGGCGGAAGGGAAUCUUCCGCAAUGGGCGAAAGCCUGACGGGGAAACGCCGCGUGAGUGAGGAAGGUCCUCGGAUCGUAAAACUCUGUUAUUAGGGAAGACCAAACGUGUAAGUAACUGUGCACGUCUUGACGGUACCUAAUCAGAAAGCCACGGCUAACUACGUG